AACGGAUAAAAGGUACUCCGGGGAUAACAGGCUGAUACCGCCCAAGAGUUCAUAUCGACGGCGGUGUUUGGCACCUCGAUGUCGGCUCAUCACAUCCUGGGGCUGAAGUAGGUCCCAAGGGUAUGGCUGUUCGCCAUUUAAAGUGGUACGCGAGCUGGGUUUAGAACGUCGUGAGACAGUUCGGUCCCUAUCUGCCGUGGGCGCUGGAGAACUGAGGGGGGCUGCUCCUAGUACGAGAGGACCGGAGUGGACGCAUCACUGGUGUUCGGGUUGUCAUGCCAAUGGCACUGCCCGGUAGCUAAAUGCGGAAGAGAUAAGUGCUGAAAGCAUCUAAGCACGAAACUUGCCCCGAGAUGAGUUCUCCCUGACCCUUUAAGGGUCCUGAAGGAACGUUGAAGACGACGACGUUGAUAGGCCGGGUGUGUAAGCGCAGCGAUGCGUUGAGCUAACCGGUACUAAUGAACCGUGAGGCUUAACCUUACAACGCCGAAGGUGUUU
rnacentral:rRNA from 1 species